rnacentral:rRNA from 1 species
CACGUAGGGGGCAAGCGUUGUCCGGAUUUACUGGGCGUAAAGGGCGCGUAGGCGGCCUUCUAAGUCGAACGUGAAAUCCCCGGGCUCAACCCGGGAACUGCGUCCGAUACUGGAAGGCUUGAAUCCGGGAGAGGGAUGCGGAAUUCCAGGUGUAGCGGUGAAAUGCGUAGAUAUCUGGAGGAACACCGGUGGCGAAGGCGGCAUCCUGGACCGGUAUUGACGCUGAGGCGCGAAAGCCAGGGGAGCAAACGGG